rnacentral:rRNA from 1 species
GAUGAACGCUGGCGGCGUGCCUAAUACAUGCAAGUCGAGCGAACAGACGAGGAGCUUGCUCCUCUGACGUUAGCGGCGGACGGGUGAGUAACACGUGGAUAACCUACCUAUAAGACUGGGAUAACUUCGGGAAACCGGAGCUAAUACCGGAUAAUAUAUUGAACCGCAUGGUUCAAUAGUGAAGGACGGUUUUGCAGUCACUUAUAGAUGGAUCCGCGCCGCAUUAGCUAGUUGGUAAGGUAACGGCUUACCAAGGCGACGAUGCGUAGCCGACCUGAGAGGGUGAUCGGCCACACUGGAACUGAGACACGGUCCAGACUCCUACGGGAGGCAGCAGUAGGGAAUCUUCCGCAAUGGGCGAAAGCCUGACGGAGCAACGCCGCGUGAGUGAUGAAGGUCUUCGGAUCGUAAAACUCUGUUAUUAGGGAAGAACAAAUGUGUAAGUAACUAUGCACGUCUUGACGGUACCUAAUCAGAAAGCCACGGCUAACUACGUG